AAAAUGCAAAACAUAAAGACAAAGAACUGUUUGCUGACCUUUUGACCUUUAGAUAAAUAAUCUGGUUGUUAUAUUAUACAAUAUGUGACAUUUUGUUGCUUAUCCACAACAUUCACAGCAUUCGACUGUAGAUCUGUGACCACUGUGUAUUGAAUAACUAGAUAGAACAUAUUGUGGUGUCAUAGGGCCCCAGUGAUCUAAUGGACAAUAGAAUUCCCUACAGGAAGGUGAUGAAGAAAAUAAAGAAUGGGAAAUUAAAGGUUUCAUAUGCUAAUUGCUUUUUGUAUUUAUCUGGUUUUUUUUUUAUUUCAUUUCAAUUUCAUUCAGUGUGCAUUUUGUAAUUUCUCUUUUCAAAACAUGGAUUAAUGAGGAUUUUCUGUCUUUUAGGGCUUGGCAUUUGUACUGUGUUGACUGCAGGAAGUCCACUAGGUCAAAGACUUGUUUAUUGUCAUGGAAAUAGAAACGUUAAUUAGGACAAGGGGUGUCAACUACAAGACCGAGAAGGAUGGAGACUUCUCUAAUGCCAGCUCUCAAGAUGUUUGCUCUGCUUGCAUAUAUUCUUUUGUCUUGCAUAUUAUGUGUAUCUAUGAUCCCCAGUGUUUUUCAGCCAAAUGUCUCAAUCACAGCAUCAGUGGGUGGUUCGGUCAUCCUGGAAUGCCACACAACUGCUGAUCUGGUUGUGGCCUGGUUUUGGCUAAAACAAAUCCCAGGACAAAAGUUGAACCCUAUAGUUUCUACAUAUUACCAGGAGAUAAAACUUCAAGAGGAAUUUCUCAAUGAAUCAAGACUUCAAUUCAAAGUUGAC
ensembl:lncRNA